rnacentral:rRNA from 1 species
AGAGAGAGACAUGCGCGCAUAUCAAUAAGCGGAGGAAAAGAAACUAACAAGGAUUCCCCUAGUAACGGCGAGUGAAGCGGGAAGAGCUCAAAUUUGAAAUCUUAAAGGGUUUCCCUUUACGAAUUGUAGUUUCAAAGAAGUGUUUUCUGUUGAGGUUUUGGUAAAAGUUCUUUGGAAUAGGACAUCAUAGAGGGUGAGAAUCCCGUAUUUGACCUUUACUUUCAACUUUGUGAUACACUUUCAAAGAGUCGGAUUGUUUGGGAAUGCAGUCCAAAAUGGGUGGUAAAUUUCAUCUAAAGCUAAAUAUUGGCGAGAGACCGAUAGCGAACAAGUACCGUGAGGGAAAGAUGAAAAGAACUUUGAAAAGAGAGUUAAACAGUACGUGAAAUUGUCAAAAGGGAAGCGUUUGACACCAGUGUUGUUUUUCUGAAAAUCAAUUAAAGAACUGUUUAUGCUAAGUUGUUUAGACUUUAUCAGCUAUCUGUUUAGUUUUGAGCUUUUCUUUAAUGCACUUUUCAGUUAACAAGUCAACAUCAAUUUCUUUUGCUGUAAAAAAGCUUGAGGAAGGUGGCUUGAGAUUCGUCUUAAGUGUUUAUAGCCUCUUGCCUAUGCAGUCGGAGAGAUUGAGGUCUGCAGCGUAGAUCCUUCGGGGCUAAAUGCAUUUGUGCUAAGUUAUAGCAUUUUAUAGACAACUUGUUGACUAUGAUUUGUCUUGUAGCUUACUCGCUUAUGUUAUUUUACCUACGCUUAGGAUGUUGACGCAUGAGAUAUACGC